GGCUCAGGAUGAACGCUAGCUACAGGCUUAACACAUGCAAGUCGAGGGGCAGCAUGAACUUAGCUUGCUAAGUUUGAUGGCGACCGGCGCACGGGUGAGUAACACGUAUCCAACCUUCCGUUUACUCAGGGAUAGCCUUUCGAAAGAAAGAUUAAUACCUGAUAGUAUGGUGAGAUUGCAUGAUAACACCAUUAAAGAUUUAUUGGUAAACGAUGGGGAUGCGUUCCAUUAGGUAGUAGGCGGGGUAACGGCCCACCUAGCCUGCGAUGGAUAGGGGUUCUGAGAGGAAGGUCCCCCACAUUGGAACUGAGACACGGUCCAAACUCCUACGGGAGGCAGCAGUGAGGAAUAUUGGUCAAUGGGCGGAAGCCUGAACCAGCCAUGCCGCGUGAAGGACUAAGGCCCUACGGGUCGUAAACUUCUUUAGACGCAGAGCAAUAAGGUCCACGUGUGGACCGAUGAGAGUAUGCGUAGAAUAAGCAUCGGCUAACUCCGUG
rnacentral:rRNA from 1 species